ACAUACUCCCAAAACUAACCAGGAACAAGCUGAAUCUCUGAAGAGAUGAAUAACAAGGUCUGAAGUUGACACAGCAAUUAAUAGCCUACUUAACCAAAAAAAGUACAGGGCCAGAUGGGUUCACAGCUGAAUUCUACCAGAGGUACAAAGAGGAGCUGGUACCA